rnacentral:rRNA from 2 species
UACGGAGGGUGCAAGCGUUAAUCGGAAUUACUGGGCGUAAAGCGCACGUAGGCGGUGUGUUAAGUUGGAUGUGAAAGCCCCGGGCUCAACCUGGGAAUUGCAUUCAAAACUGGCACGCUAGAGUAUGUGAGAGGGGGGUAGAAUUCCAAGUGUAGCGGUGAAAUGCGUAGAGAUUUGGAGGAAUACCAGUGGCGAAGGCGGCCCCCUGGCACAAUACUGACGCUGAGGUGCGAAAGCGUGGGGAGCAAACAGG